rnacentral:rRNA from 1 species
GAUGAACGCUGGCGGCGUGCCUAAUACAUGCAAGUCGAGCGAACAGACUAGGAGCUUGCUCCUCUGACGUUAGCGGCGGACGGGUGAGUAACACGUGGAUAACCUACCUAUAAGACUGGGAUAACUUCGGGAAACCGGAGCUAAUACCGGAUAAUAUAUUGAACCGCAUGGUUCAAUAGUUAAAGACGGUUUUGCUGUCACUUAUAGAUGGAUCCGCGCCGCAUUAGCUAGUUGGUAAGGUAACGGCUUACCAAGGCGACGAUGCGUAGCCGACCUGAGAGGGGGAUCGGCCACCCUGGAACUGAGACACGGUCCAGACUCCUACGGGAGGCAGCAGUAGGGAAUCUUCCGCAAUGGGCGAAAGCAUGACGGAGCAACGCCGCGUGAGUGAUGAAGGUCUUCGGAUCGUAAAACUCUGUUAUUAGGGAAGAACAAAUGUGUAAGUAACUAUGCACGUCUUGACGGUACCUAAUCAGAAAGCCACGGCUAACUACGUG